rnacentral:rRNA from 1 species
AAGGUAGCAAAAUCAUUUGGCUUUUAAAUGGAGUCGGGAAUGAAAGGAAUAAUGGGGUUAAGCUGUCUCUUUAACAUUUUAUUGAAUUUAUUUAUUAGGUGAAAAUACCUAUAAUUAGAAAAAAGACGAGAAGACCCUAGGAGUUUUGACUAAAUGUUAAUUUCUAUUUAACUACUGUUUUUGUUGGGGCAACAUGGGAAUAAAGUAAAAUCUCCCUAUUUAUAUUGGCCGACUUGGUAUGGAUAAUUAAACUACCCUAGGGAUAACAGCGUAAUUCUUUAUUGAGCUUGCGACCUCUGAUGUUGGACUAGGAAUUUGGUUGGCUAGCCGCCAAUUUAUA